GUUUCUAUGGAUGUUGUGAGAGUGGUGCUAACUGCACGCCGAACGGAUAACGAGGUACUUUGGAGUCAUUUGGAGCAAAAGAAGGAGAAAUCGUAUUUUUGGAGCGUAAAAGGCAAAAAGGUCAAUUCACAUGCGAUAUUUAUAUUUGGAGCAGGCUAGGUUUCACAAGAAGGAGAUAACGAAUGAACUAGAAACAACAAGAAGAACUACGCUGGGAACUGAAUUGUCACACCUCCAUUUGGGUGACCCUUAUCCUAAUGAGUGGGUAUCGUAGAUCCGUUUUCCUUAUAACCUAGAAACUACAUCGAGUUGGUCAUUACACGACCAGUUCUCCAACUCAGCCAAAUCUCGUCGCCGCUCUCAGUUCCUUGCCAAGAAUGGUUCACGCCGGAAAGCUCAUGUCUGGUCUAGUGGAGUACGUCGUCGAACCAGAGAGUUGUAAAAGGGUAAGACAAGUCGAAUUUGUAAGAGUUUAGUUUGUGUUUGAAUUCUCAGACGAAAACUCUAUCAAGAACAAUAAGCUGGUGUCGGAGAAAGUGGAGAUGAAGGGAGUAAAAUCAUCAAGCAGUUGCGAGUUUCUGUGGAUUCAAAGGUCUGUAAACAAUGGGUUUGUGUUGGAUUUGCAUUUGGUAGUGAUGGUUUCGAUAAGUGAAGACUAGGGUUGAAUUCAAACUGGAAUUGGGGUUGAUGUUGCUCCAUUGAGUGAUCUGUGUUGUGAAUCGAAAGAGGAGAAGUUGCUGCUGCUGUACAAAGUUAAGAAUACAUAAGCAAUGGGUUCUGAUAUUGUUGUUGCCGAUUGAAGAUUAGUAAGAAUGCAAGAUGGAGCAUGACUCAGGUGAAGAGAUUCAAGGGUUGAGUUCUCUGUGUGUAUUGCCAUGAAUGAUUACAAGGAAUUUGAAUGCAUCUGGAGCUGGUGGUGAUUGAAUUAUGGACUGGUGCAGCUGCAGAUUUGUGUUGCUGUCACCAAUGGGAGUUGGCAUUGCAGAAAAUGGAGAAAGGAAGGAAUUAAGCCAAGCGAGAAGUUGGUUGAUUGGUUGGUUACGACGGGAUGAAUGGGUUGCAGAGAAGCACAAAGAAAUUGGAGGAGUUGAGUCUGUGGCCUGAGUUAGGUGGUUAUGAAGCUACAAAAGAUUGCAGGAAAUUGGCAGUGAAGGCAUUGGUGGUGGAUGUAGCUCAAGUUGCAGUUUGCUAUUAAGGGAUGAUGGCAGCUGAGUUAGCAGGUGGACUGCGAAGAAGAUAUGGAUUCUAGGGAAACUGAGGCAAGAAGCGUUCGAGUUAAUGGAAUGUGGCAAUGUAGAGAAGGAAUAAAGCUGGUGAUAUACGCAAGUGAUGGUGAUUGCAGGUGCUGAGAUGAUAGAAAGUAGUGUUCUUGCUGGUGAUUGUCAUGGGUGCAGUGGUUGAUUAUUAUAAGGUGUUAGAGCUGAGUUGGUACUGGUGGUUGCUGCCAAGGGAGUGAGUUGCAAUUGCAUUGCAAGUGGAGAAGGAAAAUGGUGGAUUGCUGGCUGCAGUUGAGUUCAGAAUUGCAGGUGCAGUUACUUGAGUGGAGGUUGGAUGUACUCUGGUGCUGUGUUGCAGAGAACUGUAAUGGGAAGAACGAUUGAAGCUCAAGGAUAUUGCAGGUUCAAUAACAAGAACAUGGAAGAUAUGGCCUGAUUGCAGCUGCAGCUUGGUGCGUGUUUACAAUGGGUUUAACUGGUGGUGAUGCUGGGAAAUGUAUGAGAAUGGAGGAAUUGAGCUGCAGAUGUAGAACAAAUAGGUUCCAGUGAUUUUGAGAUGGGAAUGGAAGUGGUGGUGAGUUGAGCUGGUGUUGGGAAGGCUGAGUUGGAGAUGAUUGUUGGUUGCUGUUCAAUGGGAAUAUGGAGUUGCAAGCUGGUGUAGCAGAUGAUUGCAGUAGCUGAGCAGUUCAGAAAUGGAUCUCUCAGUGCCAUUGGAUGAACUGGGAAUGAGUUCUAAUGUUGAUGCCUUGAUUCUAAGGAAUUCGAGACAGGGAAGAAUGAGUGAAGCUUAAGGAGAUAGCAGGUGCUGGGUAACUGGACUGCAGAAUUGAAUGGAGCAGAAAUGGAAUGAGUGACAUUUGCAGCUGAACUGGAAGCUCAGAUGAAUAGCCGGUGAAAUCAAUGGAGUGGUGUGUGCAGUGAGAAUGGAGUAGCAGGAAAUUGAUGCUGCUAUUGAUUGCAGGUCAGCUGAAUUAUCAGAUGGAAGCUGAACUUAAUCUCAGUAAUAAGAAGAAGGGUUGAUGCAGCUGUUGUUAUUGGAGAUUGUCAUGGGUGAUUGAGCUGGGUACACUUGUAAGCUGUGAAGAAGAAAAGAUGUUAUAACUAGAUAUUUCGGAACUUGGCGAGAAUUUUCUGAAGAAUUUUGUAACUAGCCAUGGGAUAUGAAUUGAGGCAGCAAAGAGAUGCAGGUGGAAGUGGCCUGAAGUUGCAGUUGAGAUGAAAGCUGGGAAAGGUGGUGAAACGGCUUGAACUGUGUUGAAUCAGUGCAACUAUGCACGUCAUGGAAGAUAAUCAAAAGAUGAUGAUUGUCUGAUGCUGUGACUGGUUACGAGCUGGAGCUAAUAAAUAGCUUGUCAGUUUCACAAAACUGACAAGCAUACCUUAUGGUUAUGUUUGAAAGGGUACAGGCUUAUGGGUUCUUGAGUUAUGGGAUUGUUCUAAUUUUGGGCCAAGUCUUAGCCGAGCUAACUUAUGUUGGAUGUGGUCUAGAUUGAGAAAUCAGGGAAGGAGAGAAAGUCUAUAAAAGGGUUUUUGCAUCUAUCAUAUCGGGAGAUCGAUAUAUUUUUAUCUUCUAUUCUACUUUUGGUUCUAGGGUUAGAAACAUGAGUUUUCUUUUUCUCCUUGUGAUGAACUCUUAUGCCAUGAGUACCUAGAUUUUAUUAUUGGUUAAGGAAUAAGUUGAAUUUCCAAA